rnacentral:rRNA from 1 species
AUUGAACGCUGGCGGCAUGCCUAACACAUGCAAGUCGAGCGGAGCGGCGGACGGGUGAGUAAUGCCUAGGAAUCUGCCUGGCAGUGGGGGAUCACGUCAGGAAACGGGCGCUAAUAUCGCAUACUAUCAGAUGAGCCUAGGUCGGAUUAGCGAGGUGGUGGGGUAAAGGCCUACCAAGGCGACGAUCCGUAACUGGUCUGGGUGGAUGAUCGGUCACACUGUAACUGAGACACGGUCCAGACGCCUACGGGAGGCAGCAGUGGGGAAUAUUGGGCAAUGGGCGAAAGCCUGAUGCAGCAAUGCCGCGUGUGUGAAGAAGGUCUUCGGAUUGUAAAGCACUUUAAGUUGGGAGGCGUUACCAACAGAAUAAGCACCGGCUAACUACGUGCCAGCAGCCGCGGUAAUAC